UCCCUUUAUUUUAUAAGUUUUGGACUUUUGGGAUUCCUUCUAGAAAUCUGAGUGCUACUGCGCUCACUGCUAUUCACAGAUCAGAUGACUCUUCAAAUGCUGGGGUAGAAGACUGGAGUGUUUGUUAGCUCAAGGGCUCGAAACUUCGUCCUCCAUUCCAGAUGAUAAUGACUUAAAAUUGAAUCCAUUGAAUUGGACACAGCACUCCGCCUUCCAAGGACGUUCAUGGCUUACUAUUCCACCUACCAGAGUUUUCUUUUCUUUUCUUUUUCCUUUUAUGCAAUGAAUUAAGUAAGCUAAGCACAUUCGUUGGCACCUUUGGCACACAAGCUGUCAAUGGCUUCUGCAGAUCGUCGUAGAGCGUCAUCGUCUUCUUCUACUUCUGCUCGCCCAUGGGCUUACGAAGUUUUCUUGAGCUUUAGGGGCGAAGAUACCCGGCACAAUUUCACAGAUCAUCUCUAUGCAUCUUUGUGACGGAAAGGGAUUCGUACCUUUCGAGACGAUGAAGAACUCUCAUGGGGGCGAGAGAUUGGAUCAAGUCUUUUUGACGCUAUUGAGGAGUCAAGGUUCGUUCUCGUAAUUCUCUCGAAAAACUACGCUAGUUCCAAGUGGUGUUUGAAGGAAUUGGAGAAGAUAAUGGAGUGUAGGGAAGAAAUGGGAAAAAUAGUUUUUCCAGUUUUCUAUCAUGUGGAUCCUUCCCCAUGUGCCAAAUCAGAGGGGGAUUUAUGAAGGAACAUUUGCCUAUAUGAGGUGGAGGGCUGCUUUGAGGGUAGUGGGUAAUCUUUCUGGAUGGCAUGUGCAGAAUGGUGGCAGGUCUGAGGCAGAUAUUAUUGAGGAGAUUACUAGUGUUAUUUUGAUGAGAUUGAACCGGAAACUCUUACCUAUUGACAAGAACCUCAUUGGGAUGGAUUGUUGUUUGGAGGAAAUUAUUCCAAAAAUGAUAGACUAUCAAAUGAUGUUCGCAUGAUUGGGAUUUAUGGACUUGGAGGAAUUGGAAUCUCCUAAAGACCCUGGAAAAUGCAGCAGAUUAUGCUAUCCAGAGAUUGUAUAUCGUGUAUUGACAAGAAAAAUGGGAACGGAGGCAAUUGAAGGCAUACUUCUAAACUUGUUCAGAUUGAAGCGGAUACACAUCACUACUGAAGCCUUUUCAAUGAUGAAGAAUCUUAGAUUGCUCAAAAUCUUUUGGGACUUUGGAUCUGCUUCUGAGGGAGGACGAUAAAGUAAAGCUAUCUAAAGAUUUUGAAUUCCCUACUUAUGAGCUAAGAUAUCUCUAUUGGCAUGGAUAUCCUUUGGAAUCUUUGCCAUCAAGUUUUUAUGCUGAGGACCUUGUUGAACUUGACAUGUAUUAUAGCAACUUGAAACAACUUUGGGAAAUUGACAUGCUUCUUGAAAAGUUAAAUACUAUCAGAAUCAGUUGCUCUCAACACCUCAUCGAAAUUCCGGAGUUCUUAAUUAGUGCGCUGAAUCUGGAGAAACUAAUGCUUGAUGGUUGUUCAAGUUUGAUGGAAGUUCACCCAUCUAUUGGAAGGCUGAACAAGCUUAUUUUAUUGAAUUUAAAAAAUUGCAAGAAGCUUAGAAGUUUCCAGAUAUUCAGGGUAAUAUGGAACACUUAUCGGAGCUUUAUUUAGCUUCAACUGCUAUUGAAGGACUUCCCUCUUCAAUUGGGCAUCUGACUGGACUUGUUUUAUUGGAUCUGAAAAGGUGCAAAAAUCUUAAAAGUCUUCCCACAUGUACUUGUAAGUUGAAAUCCCUUGAACUUCUCUUUCUCUCUGACUGUUCAAAACUAGAGAGUUUUCCAGAAAUGAUAGAGCAUAUGGAAUGUUUAAAAGAGCUUCUUUUAGAUGGAAUAUCUAUUAGAAGUGCUACCCUGUUCAAUUGAACAUCUAAAAGGCUUUGUUUUACUAAUAUGGGGAAAUGCAAGAAGCUUGCGAGUCUUCCAAGUGGCAUGUGUAGUUUGAGGUCUCUUGAAACACUUAUUGUCUCAGGUUGUUCACAGCUAGAUAAAUUGCCAAAGAACCUUGGGAGCCUGCAAGGUCUAGUGCAGCUCCAUGCAGAUGGAACUGCUAUAACACAGCCACCUGACUUAAUUGUGCUUUUGAGAAACCUCUGAGCAUUGAUCUAUCCUGGAUGUAAAAUAAUAGCACCCACCUCACUUAGUUCGCUCUUUUCAUUCUGGUUAUUGCAUAGAAAUAGUUCAGAUGGGAUUGGUUUGUGCUUGCCUUCUUUUCCAUAUUUAAGCUCCUUCACAAAUUUAAACCUAAGUGACUGCAAACUAAUGGAAGGAGCAAUCCCUGAUGGUAUUUUCUCCUUGAUCUCAUUGAAGAAAUUAGAUCUAAGCAGAAACCAUUUUGUAAGCAUACCUGCUGGCAUCAGUGAACUUAGUAACCUAAAAGACCUUCGGUUGGGGCAGUGCCAGAAUCUCAUAGAAAUUCCAGAGCUUCCACCAUGUGUCCAAGACAGAUCCGUACAAUUGCACAUCCCUUUCAGCAAGGUCAUCUGGUGUAUGCACGUUGCAGUGGCUACAAUUUCUAUUCUAUAAUUGCUCCAAACCAGUUGAGGACUAAUCCAGUGUUUCCUCUCUAACUACUUUGGCUGUUGUGAUGCAAAAAUUUCUUGAGAACAUUGCAUUUAGCAUUGUUUUUCCAGGUAGUGAAAUUCCUGAGUGGAUAUGGCAUCAGAAUGUGAGAUCUUCUAUAAAAAUAGAGCUACCUACAGAUUGGUAUAAUGAUGACUUCUGGGGAUUUGUUGUCUGCUCAGUUCUUGAACAUUUCCCUGGGAGAAUUACAUGCCAUUUGAAUUCUGAUGUUCUUGGUUAUGGAAAAAUAAUGAAAGACUUCGGUCAUGAUUUACAUUUGAAAGGCAACAAUGUUGGGUCCAAACACGUCUGGCUGGGUUAUCAACCACUUGCUCAUUUAAGAUUGUUACCAUUCAUUGACCCCAAUGACUUGAGUCAGAUUGAGAUUUCUUUUGAAGCAACCAACAGAUUCAACUCAAGAGCCUCCAAUGUGGUGAAGAAGUGUGGGGUACGUCUUAUAUAUGCAGAAGAGCUAGAAGGAAUCCAUCCAGAUAAUAUACAAUACAGCUCAAGAGUAGGGUAUGAUGUAGUCAAGAGAAGCAGUGACAGGGAAGGAUCCAAUGGAUGUGGAAGGGGCUACAGUUCUAGUGGCUGCAGUUACAAACCCACCAACAAUCCCAUGCUCAAGCUCAAGCACAAACCUGUCCAAGAAUGACUACCAUCAUCCAAUCCCUUCUUUCAAUAAAAUUUUCUCUUCUGUUGAUAUGGCCAUGCAUGCUUGAAUCGGUGAUAAUUUUGUUUGUCCAUGAUUAUCCAUGAUCCUAUGGCUCUGUGGACUUUUCAGGCACCCCCAGGGCAAUGGUCAUGAAGCAAAACAACUAAGAGAGAAUCCACAGGAUAAACCCUUUUUGCCUUAGCAUAUGGAGCAGAAGAUCACAUAAGCCUUUGAAUUCCUUACAGUCGAGCUGGGUGUCAUUGUUAGUUAUCAAUGUACGUUCAGGAUAUGACAAAUCAGUGGCCUUUCCUUGCCUUUUAUUUACAUAUACACCUUGUGCUUCAACCCCUAAUCAGUGGCCAAAAGUAUGUACCAUUUUUGGCCAGGGGAGAGUGUCAUUGGCCUGAUUAUGUCUAGGCUCUAUUUGAGAACAACCAUAGCAUGGUGUCGUGCAAGGUGGUAAUACUAAGAAAAAAUUUUCUUACAUUCACAUGUUUACUAAAUAAUCUUUUGCUUUUUCGAUACUUUGUCCAUAAAAAUAAAAUUAAACCAAGCAAAAAUAUACUGUGCUUUAUGUAUAGAAGUAAAAAAAUUUGCUCAUAGAUAUUUGAAAAUGCAUUUCAUCUUUCCUUCCCCUC